UUUAGGUUGGAUGCCCAGCGAGGUUUGUGAAAUUUCCAGUGUAGAAACUCAUAAUGCAUGGACAGAAAGGCUAGUAAGAAAAAGGUUUAUAUAAAGGAUAUGGCCGGCUUCUAAGUCUCAUACCAUAGAAAUCAAUCUUAAUCUAACUCAUCAAAAUAUAAGUUUGCAAUCUAAAGGUUUCAUCAUGAAAGAUAUGCAUGUAUAUAGGCUCUGGUAGGUAGAACUUUGCAAGAGAUUCACAAAUGUAGAUAUCAUAUGAAUUAAAUUUAAACAAAAAUAAAUCAAGUUAUCAGGUCAUCUGUAAACUUAAAUCUAAGAGAAACAUAGAGCUUGUGGGUCUAAAAUUUAAUCAUUUAACCUCCACAAUUGUGCUUAGCAUGGAAGAACUUCUGGCGACCAUGAUCCUUGUGUUCCAUAUAGCAUUUUUAUCCUCA
rnacentral:lncRNA from 1 species